CUCACAGUGUCCUCGGCACUGCCCGUCCAUGGGGACGUCUGCACUCACAGUGUCCUCGGCACUGCCCUCCGUGGGGACGUCUGCACACACACUGUCCUCGGCACUGCCCUCCGUGGGGACGUCUGCACUCACAGUGUCCUCGGCACUGCCCUCCGUAAAUGGGGACGUCUGCACUCACAGAAUGUCCUCGGCACUGCCCUCCGUGGGGACGUCUGCACUCACAGUGUCCUCGGCACUGCCCUCCGUGGGGACGUCUGCACUCACAGAAUGUCCUCGGCACUGCCCUCCGUGGGGACGUCUGCACUCACGGAAUGUCCUCGGCACUGCCCUCCGUGGGGACGUCUGCACUCACAGUGUCCUCGGCACUGCCCUCCGUGGGGACGUCUGCACUCACAGUGUCCUCGGCACUGCCCUCCGUGGGGACGUCUGCACUCACAGAAUGUCCUCGGCACUGCCCUCCAUGGGGACGUCUGCACUCACAGUGUCCUCGGCACUGCCCUCCGUGGGGACGUCUGCACUCACAGAAUGUCCUCGGCACUGCCCUCCGUGGGGACGUCUGCACUCACAGUGUCCUCGGCACUGCCCUCCGUGGGGACGUCUGCACUCACAGUGUCCUCGGCACUGCCCUCCGUGGGGACGUCUGCACUCACAGAAUGUCCUCGGCACUGCCCUCCGUGGGGACGUCUGCACUCACAGUGUCCUCGGCACUGCCCUCCGGGACGUCUGCACACAGUGUCUUUGGCCCAGCUCGGGUUAGGAGCACUCGCUCUGGAGGCCUGACUGUGCUUUUGUAAAUUUUCACAAACAGUCACUCAAUAGGUUUUAUUUUUUGUUUCCAAUGAUUCAAUGACCAAUUCUGCUAAAUUUCACACAGCCGAAACACUUGAGAAAAUUGGUAGUAAAGAACAUUUGGAAUCCCUGAGGAUUUUCAGAGUUGAGCGUGUGUGGUGGUUAGCUGUAUUCCUCCACUGGGCUGGGCCACGGUGCCCGGGUCUGAUGGGACAUUACUCUAGAGGCCUCUGGAAGGCGUUGGAUGGGUGGGCUGUGAGGAAAGAAGAUGAGCCUGCAUAGCGUGGGUGGGUCUCCUCCGAUCCGUUGAAGGCCUGACUAGAACAGAGAUAACACCCUGCACCAGGAAGGAACUCUGCGUCCGACGGCUUCAGACUAGACUGGCAGUGCUGGCUCUUCCCCGGGUCUCCAGCCGAGGGUCCACCCUGCAGACCUUGGACCUGCCGGCUUCCACGGUCACACAAGCCAAUUCCCUAAAGAUAAAUCUCUCUCUGUGUCUCCCUCUUUAACAAAAGGCCACCUUUAACCUUUAACAAAAGGCGACCUGCUGAGAAGUCCUUGUGCUCUGUGCUUUGAACUGGACAUCAACAAACAACAUGGCACUUAGUGUUUUUAAACUGACCAAGGGACAAGCCUGGAGCAGCCUCUUCCGGGGCCUCGAUUAACCAGGAGGAGGUGGCUGCUGUGCCCCAACCCAGGUGACAGAUUCGGGUGCCGGCACCUCCCCUGAGUCUCAGAGUCCAGGGAGUCACAAUUCUACAGGGACAACAGAAACACACAAAAGUGGGCAUAAAAUAAUCAUCGAUAGAAGGUUUGUCACUUUGAUGUCUCUGUGAACUGAUUUAAUGUGGUAUAGAAAGAUGGUCCCGUUACUUUAGAGGUGGUUAGAUAUCUCUGUAUAAUGCCUGUAUAUAAUAACUCUUACGUGAUAUAGAAAGAUGGUCCCAUUACUUUAGGGGUAGUUAGAUAUCUCUGUAUAACACCUAUAUAUAAUAACUCCUAUAUGAUACAGAAAAAUGUUCUCAUUACUUUAGAGGUAGUUAGAUAUCUCCAUAUAAUGCCUGUAUAUAAUAACUCUUAUGUGAUAUAGAAAGAUGGUCUCAUUACUUUGGGAGUAGUUAUAAAUCUCCCUAUAAUGCCUGUAUAUAAUACUCAUAUGUGAUAUAAAAUGAUGGUCCCAUUACUUUAGGGGUACUUGGAAAUCUCUGUAUAAUGCCGACAUAUAAUUCUCAUGUGUGAUGUAGAAAGAUGGUCCCGUUACUUUAGGGGUAGUUACAGAUCUCUGUAGAGCUCCUGUGUGUAAUACCCAUAUACUAUGCCUCUGUUGAUUCAGAUAGAUCAAUUACUUCAUAGAAUGAAUCUGCGUGUCUAUUUUUAGGUGGAUGAGUUGCUAUGUUUUACCAUUACUAUUCUUGCUACAUUAGUUCAGCUUCUACAGGUAACCAAAUGAUUUUCAUUAUCGUAUAUUUAUAAUGUCUCAUCCAGUUAUUUUCUGGAAUGAGAGUACAAAUAAAUGUAUUUCUCAAGCUGAAAA
ensembl:lncRNA novel transcript